UAUUAAUAAAUAUGUGCAUGCAUUAUUUAUUUGUUUAUUAAUUCCAUUUUCUAUUUAUUAUUUGUUCAUGUAUUAAAUAUUUCUACAACUUCAUAAAUUACAAGCAUGAUUUGAACUUCCAAAUGGAAAAUGUGUUUACAAAAUGAGUAUUUGCUUUGAGAAACCGGGUCUUAGCGCAAGUGCGUAAACUUCUAUUAAUUUGAUAUAUUGUUACCCGAAAAUAAGAUGCACAAUUCCGUACAUAAAAUUAAGCGUUUCUAACAGUAUACAAUAAAUAUUUGAGACUUCGUUAAUUGAAAUUAAAUAAAUCUUUGUUAAUUAGGAUUAAUUAACUUAUUAAAUUGAGAUAAUAAAAUAUUUCACAAGAUUGUAAUUUUGAUUGGAUUAUGUUAUAGGUGUAUAACUAUUUGUUAAUAACGCACAUUGUUGCAAAACCUGCAAUGGUUUGAAUGUUCGUAACAGUUAUGGGGGAAAAUGUUUUGUCUUUGUAGGCAUUACACAAAAACAGUACUUUGCCGCCAUUCGAUGACAUGGAGACAGAAGACACGCCUGUUAAUGAACAGAUUUCAACGUCUGCACAGAAUGUAGCACAGGCGGGUUCCGAGAAGAGAAACGUACGCAUACAUAAGGAAAAUACUGUGUCUGCCGUUCCUACCGGCAGAACACAUUCCUGAGAUGUUCGAGUCCAUGGUCGACAUCGCGCCUCACAGAUUUGAUUGACUUUUGAGCUACAUACGCUCAACAUGGUUCGUGCCUUCAACUUGGCCUGUGUCCUGCUGGUCGGUGUUCGCCAUGAGCAUUCGAACCAACAACGACGUGGAAGGUUAGCACAGACGUCUCAAUGGGAGUGCGGGGAUUGCCCCUCCCAUGUACCUCCUCAUCCGCCUUCUUUCUGACGAGGCAAACGUUGCACUUCGGAACGUACAGUUGGUUACGGAGCCAACUGACUCGCUACCAGCGACGGCAGCAGAAAACCAUGCAAACCUAGAUUGCCAGGUUGUGGUCAUUGUACAGGCGGGGCGAGGUAUCCGCAACGGCACUACUGAAACAGAUGAGCACAAAGUACAAGCACUGCUUGAUUGAACUACAAUGUAAAUAUCUUGUAAAUGUUGAAAUAAAAUAAAAAUACUUACAUGUAUCUCUCCUUGUGUAUAUAUUGUAAAUCUUUGAUUAUGUGAACAUUUUGAAAUAAAUAUUAAAACAAAAGUAUAUGGAUGUAUGUCUCCUUGUGUAUAUAUUGUAAAUCUUUGAUUAUGUGUGAAAAUAUUGAAAUAAAUAUUUAAAAAAAAUUAUAUAGAUGUAUGUCGCCUUGUGUAUAUAUUGUAAAUCUUUGAUUAUGUGUGAAAGUAUUUAAAAAAAAAAAAUAGAUGUAUGUCUCAUUGUGUACAUAUUGUAAAGCUUUGUUAAUGUGUGUAAAUAUUGAAAUAAAUAUUAAAAGAAAAGUAUGGAGAUGUAGGUCUACUUGUGUACAUAUUGUAAAGCUAUGAUACUGUGUGUAAAUAUAUUGAAAUAAAUAUUACAAUAAAAGUAUAUAGAUGUAUGUCUA